AAAUUGAAGAGUUUGAUCGUGGCUCAGAUUGAACGCUGGCGGCAGGCCUAACACAUGCAAGUCGAACGGUAACAGGAAGCAGCUUGCUGCUUCGCUGACGAGUGGCGGACGGGUGAGUAAUGUCUGGGAAACUGCCUG
rnacentral:rRNA from 1 species